rnacentral:lncRNA from 1 species
AAAUUUACACGAACAUUUGUAAUGCUUAAAGGUAAUAGGUUUCUCAUCGCCACUCCAUUUUGAUUCUCUCCAGGCUUUUGAUCAAAAUUUGCGCUCAAGGCGCCGGUGAGAUCGUGCUGAGAAUAAAUUACAGAUAAAUAAAUUUUACAUCUGUGUCAGCACACGGCAUAACCUUUUAAAAAGGGCAUAACAAAGAAAGUGAUUGAAAUCAAGAUAAUUGAUGUGCCAGAGCUGAUUAAUGCCACCAUAGACGAGUAAUCUGCUUUCAAUCACAGAUGGGCUUCUGAAACUUCCCAUGAACCCAUACUCUUCGCAUGAUCUUCCCGCUCCGGCGAUUCACUGACUUCACACAGCAAUAUUCGAGCUCAAGCUACAAAAAAAACUCGCGAUGUCUCAUAUCAGCAAUAAACGGAAAUUGGAAAACAAAGGCGUAAUAGAAAGUAAUAAUGCAUUUAGCUAACAGAACCCAAGUGUAGUUUUCAGACGGAUUAUCCUCAGAACUCGACUUUUUUGUUUGAUUACUUAGAUGCAAUUGCAUGCAAUACAUGCAAGUCACUUUCAUAAUAAUAGCACUUCAUGCAAUAACUAUGAACAGCUUUCCAUGCAAAUAGUUUUAGAUCUUCCAGCAGAUUUAACAAAGAACCAAAAAGAAUAGGAAAAAGGAAUCAUGUGGCCUAUCUCAACUUUAUUUGGGGGUGUGUGCAAAGAUAAAAGAACUUAUAAUCCAUACAAGUGGAUGGAAAUUAAACAAGGACUACUUAUUCGGUAUCAUUGAACUUGAAUUUUGAAAUCACCAAAUGCAAGGUUUCCCUGAGGUAAGCAGUUAAAAGAGGACUAUGUUUACGAAGAUUGUUAAUACCUCAGUGAAGCCCACAGCAGACAUCAAAUUUCUCACGCUAUUCAAGCAGAAGAAAUAAGAUCGUGUUCCAUCUGACCGCAAGUAUUCUCGAUAUCCCACUCUUUGUGCAGGCUCAAACCUAAGCAUGGUCAUAUCGUAAAGACCUGAUUUCAUUACAGGGAAAGGAUUUAUCAGGUUUAGACAACAAUAGAAAAGUUAGAAACUCUAUGCAAUUAUAAGAUUCAGACUCAAUACAAUCUAUUUUAUUUGGCUGUUACCAUAAUCCCUGAAUAAAAGCAGACCACCCGGCUUUAAAAUAGAGAAGCAUUGGGUAAUAGCAGUGGGCAUCCUGUCAAGUGGUACGGCUGAUAAUGUGAAAAUCUGCCAUAUUAAAUAUAGAAGAUGAUAUUCAGAUGUUUAAAUUAUGACGAAAUUUCAGAGAAUUACAAUAUAAAAUAGUAACAAACUGUGUAAGUACCAAGGUAAUGAAAUCCACUCCACCAAUGCAGCACUUAUUUUCCUCGGAGCAGGAAGGACUAUUGAUAUCUAUCUUACAGUUGUCUUCGCCUGGAUAAACCUCAAAAACGGUUAAAAAAUUGAAACUCACUAGCUAGCGUAUUAAAGAAAAAUGAUUAUAAACAUGAAAUGCCAAAGAACGAGAUGAAUGACAAAUUUUGACACCUGGGAAGCCUAGAAACUGCUUCUCCAAGAAACUUCCUCUACAAGUAUUGCAGGCCAACCACAUAGGAAAUCCAAGGGUUGAAAAGUCACAUUGGAAUGAAUGAAAACGAUGCUUAGUAGAGAUUGAGUUAUCAGCAUUAAUGAUCUCUUUAGCUCUCUCAAGAGCUUCAGUGCUGCAGUCACAGGCAUACAAGAUGGUGCUCUCUUUUUCACUGCAUCACAGGAACAAAAAUUCAGCAGAAGUACAGGCAACUGAGAAGAAAAUAGAUGAUGCAAAAUAUUAAUUAGCAAAAAUGCAGGUUUUUAAGAGGAUCGGGAAAUAUCUUAUUUGUCAAACUCGCUAAACCGAGAGAGAGAGAGAGAGUAAUUUUAAAUAAAAAAUAAUCAAAAAUGGUCCAUAACGGUUACUUUUUGUAACCAUGCGACCAUAUAGGCUAUAACUAUGCAGUCCCAUACUUAUAGCAUCCAGUGGUCGCCAAUUUUAUGUACGUGUCUAUGCGACGACCAAUCUUCUGGCACACACAAUUUUUUUAUUUCUUCUCCAAUUAAUUUAUUCAUUCACGUGAUUUUGAAGAACAAAUUUCUAGCAACAGAUUGUCUUUGACAUAAAUACUCUGCCAAGUACCAAAGAAAAAUGGCACCUAGGCAUUAUUACAGCCGCAAUACUAAAUUCUUUGUACGAAUCAUGAAGAGAAUAAAAAAAUUCUUUAAAUGCUAGACCUAAUUUUUCCUCACUGUGACGUCGAGUAAAUCAUGUCAAUAUAUAAUGGAUGGUUGCAAUAUUGUGUCAAAAUUUCAUUCUUUUCAAUUGUUACACAUUAAAAAUAUUUUUAUUAAGAAAUAAUUUAUUUUGAGUUUUUUUAAACAAUUUUCCAACAAAGACAAAUAUGUAACUACAUGCUAAAUUAUAUACGAGAAAGGUUGAAGCCUAUAAACUAAACACUUUUUUCUACAUAUAUUUGAACAAAUUGAAAUUUAUUUAUAAUAAACAAGAUAGAGAAGACAAUGUCCCUCUAAUUUCGUUGAUCCGAAAGCAUACAAACAUAGUCGUUAUUAUUAGUUGACGUUUUAGAAUCUAAUUGGACCAAAAAAAAAAAAUUCUAGUGAUCCAUGUGAUACGUUUAGUGACAAUUAAAGAUAUAAGAUUUAGCGGGCUGAUAAAUGUAAAUAUUGCAUUUAUCUUGGUUAUCAAAAAUAAUUUUUGAUAAUACUGUUACGAGCUUAUUCUUAAUUAUUUUUUAAAUCAAUCAUCCUAGUAAAAUCAAUAUAUAAGCUUGCCCAGCAAACAACCUCACUGAUCUAAAACAUUCUCAACUAUGAUCAAAUAUUAUUCCUCCACCAUGGUCGAAGCGUAUUUGAAAUUGUAGAAAAUAAUUAAAUCAUGGGAUUUUGUUCAUAAAAAUUCACUCGUUUGGUAAAGACACUUGUGUCAUGGUGGAAAAAUAGGGUUAAUUACGCUAAUUCUUACAAAAAGUAAUUAUGUCGAUGAUCACUAAAAUUAUUCUCUUACUGUAAGAGUGAAUCAAGUUUUCUACUAUUGCAUUAUAGAUUGUUCGUAAAAAAAAUUAACAUUAAAUCCUGCGAUACGUCAUUAAACGUCAAUGUGUCAAACAAUGUGAUGUGUUACUCCUAGUCAAUAAAAUUGGAGAAUUAGUGUUGGAAUUAAAUACUUUCAAAUAAGUAAAUAUAAUGCGCUUUUUUUUUUCGGUUUCAAUUUUUGGCUUAAAUAUUACAGUAAACACAUACUGUUCUUUUUAAUAACAUUUUUUUUUACUGAUUGGCGUAAUAAAUAAUGUCAUUUGAUUACGCUUUGCACUUAAUAGUGGCAAGUAAGAUUAAAUGCUAAUUUUUUGACCGAUUGAUUAUAGCCCCACUACAAUUCAAUUAUUUCAAUAAUACCUAAUUUUUCGUUUUUCAAUAUGAGUUUAAUUUACAAACUGUAAUAAAUACUACAAAAUUCUUGUUCAUGCAUUUAUUUUCUAUAAUCAAUUCUUAAUUAAUUAACAUUCACAUUGAUUUAAUUAGUAUUUCACAUUCAAAUUCACAUACAUGUCCCCAGUAUUAAUUCUCAAUUAAUUAAUAUUCACAUUCAUUUAAUUAAUAUUAAUUAGAAUUUUACAUUUAAGAGUGUAAUUCAUUAUUCAUGUUCAUGUAUGUUAAUUAACAUCCAUUUUCACUUAAUUGAAAAUUAAAUUAUAUUCAUUUAGUAUAAAUUAUUUAACAUUCAUUGUCACGUCUAUAUUACUUGGUAUUAAUUCUAAAUUAACUAUCAUUCACGUUAAUUCAUGUAUCGUAUUUGCCAUUUAUCUUCAUUUAUACAUUUAGUUGUAAUUCUAAUACUCACAUUUAAGUGCAUUUUAUUAUUUAUUUGCAUUUGUAAUAAUUAGUCUUUUAUUUUCAUAUGCUUGUUUUUCUUUCAUAUUUAGAUCAAACAAAUAUUACAAUAAUUGUACUUAUAAAGCAUUACCGAAUAAUGUGAAACAAACGUUCAACAUUAACUAGUAUUAACAGACAAAACUAUCAAUUAAAAACAAUUUAUAAAGUUGAAACAUGUAAAAAGUUUGUUGACAUUGAAAUUUUUUCUCAUCUUCUAAACAAAAUGAAACAGGUCUUGCUGAACCGAGGAAAAAAAAUCUAAAAAAGUUAAACGUCGUGUCCUAUCAUUUAUUUUGACCACAUAUCAUUAUAUCAAAGCGUUAAAGAUUAAAAAAUAAAAUAAAAAUAAAUCUCUCUCCUUUCUAAUAUAAUAAUAUAAAAUCCUCACUUGGAUCAGUUAAAAAUUAUUUUUUUAAUAAACUUAAAAAAAGUUGAUUAAAUAUAUAAUUAAAAAUUUUAACAAAAAUUAUAGACCUCAUCAAAUGUUUGAUUAAAUUAAUUAACUUUUACUUGAAUAUUUAUGAACUUUUUUUAACUAAACCAAACAAGGUCUAAACUUUUGUACAAGACAAUUAAGCACUUGUUUGGUACUCAUUUUUUUAAAACUUUUUUUUUUAAAACUCAUUUUCAACCAUACAUUCUCCCAAUGAAAUAAUUUCGCACGUGAACAAUCGUUUUCUGCUUUUUAACUACACAUUCUCUAAAAAAAUUAUUUUUCACUAAAUCUAUGUUAAAUAGGCCUUAAAUAUGGAUAUCAUGUUAGAUAAGAAUAUGGAGAAUUUACAAAAAUGUCACGAAAAAUGAAAGUUCCAAAACAUUUGUCAUUUUCACUUUAUGUAAGCAAAAAUGUCACUUUUUUGGAGUGAAAAGUCCGAAUUACCCUUAAUGACGUAUUUUUAGUAGCAUUUAAUGCUUGAUUUGAAGGAAAAUUAUUGAUUUGUUGUGAUGAUUUAAUUUCUAUAUACAAAACAUGGAUAAAUGUGUAUUUUAUUGAUUAAUAUGAAUUUUUUUUAAUAAAAAAGGGUAAAAGAAAUUUAAAAAUGAAACAUAAACUACAAACCCUAAAUUUUCUCCAUCUUUUUCAUUUUCAUUGAUCAAGAAGACAUUUCUGCUGUAUUCUUCAUCCAUUUUGAGAGGUUAACAAUUACAAAUUAUUUAUAUUUUACUUAUAGUCUUUUGUUUUAUAAAUGUUAAAUACAACAUGGGCAUAUUAAUUUGAAAUUUUUGAAACUAUUAUGCAUUGAUUUAUUUGGUUUUGGAGUCCUUCACAAAAUGUCAUUAUCACUAUUAAAGUUUUGAGUAAUUUCUUCCAUUCAAACCAAACACUGUUUUCAUUAAAUGUCUCUUUAAUGAUAAAGUCAAUCUGAUCUUUUCAUUUUGUCAUUUGAUAGCUCAAUAGUAAUGACCACACUUAAUGUGUUGUGCUGAAGAAGCAUAAGUUCCACCCACUGCCGUCUGCUUCCCGACAUUUUCGACAGUUCAACUAUCGAAUUUGACAUUUACAAACCGUCGGGUUAAACGUUUGAAAUGUUAAACUCGACAUUUAUAAGCUGUCGGGAUAUACAAUUUUACUUUCAAUUUGGACACUUCAAAACGAUGGAAACCCUUCAUUUGACCUUUUGCUAUUGUACUUAUUUACGUAUUAUGUAGUGCCACUUUCAUACUAUUAAAUGCUAACAUAUUAAUUCUGAAUUCUUAUCAUUGCAAUCCCAACAUUUCAGGUAUGAGUAAUCAUUUGAGAUUCAUCGUAUCGUAUGUGGAAAAAUUUGUUCAUACGGAUGACGAAUGAAAGUGGAGAGGGGACAAAACCACUUCCAUUCUGGUGCCGACAAGUAUUAUCGUAGCCGAACUUUGUUGAGGUUGAAAGACAAACUUGGUAUUCUUGAUCCUCACACUCAAAUUGAAUUGAAGUUCAAAGUCCCUAACUUGAAUAUACUUUCGGCCGAAAUACGCAACGAUGAAGACUUAAAUUGGUGGUAAAAGUGGUUGUCAAAUGUAAUCCUAAAAAUGUUCCCCCUAUGCGGUGUACAUUCUGAAGUUAUGUUAUUAAUUUGUUGUUAUUAUCAUAUGCUAAUAAGAAAUUGGUCGUUAUGUUUUGCAAGCAAAGUACUGAUCAUUAUGGUUCCAUUAGCACAAACGGGAUGUAUACAUUAUUUUCAUUAUAAACUUAGCCGAUCAUUAUGGUUUCAUUAAUUUCGACUGACAAUUUGUCGAAAUGGAAAAUUGAUUUUCAUGAAACGACAAUUCACAAGCAAAAUACCAACAUUACGUCCCAAUUGUUCAUAUGUCGUUCCCGACAGAUGGUCUCUGUAAUUCUCGAUAGUUGGGAACAAUAACGACUUCCAAAAAUACACUAUAGCAGUAACCCAUUAUGGACUUGCUGUUGCUGCAUGUACGCAGAGGACGUGAGCAAAAUGAUCCCUACCACUAAAUACUAUACAUAAUUUCCUACAAAAGGGUCAUUUAUUGUACACUUGCAUUGCUAUCGACAUUUUAAGCUUUUCCCCCACUUUUUCCAUUAGAAUCGUCUGAACUUAUGACAAUUAUUUCUGGAUGUGGAAGAUGAGCCAGCUACUCAUCCGAGUCGGACGGUGAUUCGAUCGGACCCCUGACCUAGAAAACUUAAUCGAGCACGCUGUUCGGUGACUUAGAUUCUGCACUUGACACUUCGUCGAACUCGGCACCAUGGUGCUCAAUGCUUACCUCCUCAUCGUCCGAGGAUAAAUGAUGGGAAAUUCAGCGGCCGAACCCAGUAUCGACGAAUGCAUAUUAGGGUUGAAUGAUUCGUUGCUGGAGGUGAAUGAACCCAUUAUCUCGUAUCAACUAAUUGUUUCAAUAUGGGAGCUUCACAAGAGCUUCUCUAGUCUUUCAAAGGGUGGAUUAUGCCUUCAACCACAAAGUGUACUUGUAUUGGUCAGACAUUCACUAUUAUUUUCUCAUUGGUGUUUUCAAAGAGAAACUUAUAAAAUGCAUUAAUUUCAAUUUCUCUAAAAACGAGAAACUUAUAAUUUUUAUAAUUUCCAUUUAUAAACUAUGAUCUGGAUAUUGGUCAAACUUAUAAUUUUCAUUUUUUCGGAAGCGAGAAACUUAUAAAAUGCACAAAUUUCCUCAUUUUUCGAAAGCGAGAAACUUAUAAAAUGCAUCAAUUUUCAUUUUUCAAUAUGGAUACCAGUUUUAAUCUUUAGGUCGAAUGAGUUCAAAAAGUAAGAAACUUACAAAGUGCGCCAAAAACAGUUUCCGUACCAACAUUUUUCGUACUAAAUUCACACAGUUUCUUUGACAGUGAAUACCACUUGAACAUAACCAACAUUUCCCAAAAAAUAAAUAUACAAUAAUACAAAACAAAAUGUUCCUUCGUGCAUUCUCCGCAGUCACCCGAAGUAAAACAUUGUCAACGUCGCUCUUUCUUUGACAUGGACAUCGAUUGGAUCCACCUCCCAUUACAACAAGAACCUGUCGACCAACACUUUGAUACUUGUUCAGGUCAUGAGUACGAUUCUGUACAUAGGCCAUCAUACAUAAGUAAAAUGAGUAUUCUGAGACAAAACACGUAGAAAGUAAGGUGAAGAAAUGUAAUAGCGUUCAGGUCCAUGCUAUCUUUAUCGAUCACCUCACAAAAUAACAAAACGUUUGAUAGAAUUUCCAAAAGGUGUGUAGAGUUUGUGAUUCAAUCCAUUUGCAUUAUAAAAUGUAUCAGAGUAGAGUUUUAUUGCAUCUAGUACGAGCUCAAUAAGUGCAAUUAUACAUGUUCAGCAACAACUUUCGACAGAUGAACUGUCGAGAAAUCUAGUUUUUUCCUUCCCACAUAGGUAUUAUACAAAAGCUUUUCACUCCAUAUUCGAGCAGAACGAAACAUUAAAUCCACAAAUAUGCUUUUUACCCCGGUUGCAGGAUCAUAUGCCCAGUAUGCAUGAUCAUAUGCUUUUCACAUUUUUAAUAGUUAUUUAUUAAAAUACUAUGUAUGGUGAAGAGACCUUUAUUCUUACUCAUAGAUAAUCUUCUACCAUUAACUAACAGGAGCUUGACCAUUGUUUGUUGAUUAAGAAAUGCAAGAAGUCCAUUUACAUAACAACCAUCUUAUUGCACACCAAAAUUUGUAAGUUCACAAGGAUACUCGCUAGAUUACAUGAUAUCGGUUAUAAGAAAGUAAAGAUAAAAAUUACAAUGAACUUGCAACCAAACCAACAUUUCUAUCUUUCCACCAUCAACAGAAAAAAUCCCAUGAAUCAAGUUACUCUCUUUUCGAAUCACAACAUUUUUUUCUUUAAGGGAACAUGAAAAUAUCCAAAUCAAGUCAGAAAAAAAUAAAAUAAAAAGAAACAUACCAAAAAGUAGAUAUUAAUCUUCAACAGUUCUCCUAAACUUAAGCAGAUUCCAUAUAAUUUCAAUAAAAUGUACAUAGAUUUAGGACUUCAACAUGGCUACCAGAGUAAACUGUAUGAAAUUUUUAGACCAAGAAACCUGGGCAAAAAUAAUAUUUUGGCAAUCACAAACGACCUUGAGCGAGAGAGAAUGAGAGAGGAAAUUGAAAGUCGUUUAGGUUUAGGGCUUUACUUGCUAUAUGAAUGAAUAUUUUUAGCUUUUUAUUUUUCAUAUUUUUUUCCUUGUAAGUAGUGAGAUGGAAGCUUUUGAUGUAAUGCAAAUUAGUUUUUUGUACUAUUCUUUCAUCUAGUCAAAUUAAUUUUAAUUAAGGAUAUCCAAGGUAUUUCAAUUUUUUUGAGCGACAUAAAAGUCAUAAAGUGAUAGUUUGGACAAAACUAUUAAAAGGUGACAUUUUUGUAAAUGCAAACUCAAAAUAUGACAUUCAAUGUAAUUUUCACUAAGAAUAUCUCCAAUAAUGGUGCAAAAUAGAAAUUUACAUUUUCAAAGUGUCAAAAAUCUCUCCACCGAAGAAAUAUAAAGGAAAUACAAAUUACAAUUUUCGAUAGAAAAUAAAAAUAAAAUGUAAAUUAUCUAUAAGAGGAAAAAUUUGGAUUUAAAUCUUCUAAUAUAUACCCAUUGAGAUGUAUAUAGAUAGCAAAAGUGAUUUUGAAGAUACCAAUUUGCAUGCAAAUUUACACGAACAUUUGUAAUGCUUAAAGGUAAUAGGUUUCUCAUCGCCACUCCAUUUUGAUUCUCUCCAGGCUUUUGAUCAAAAUUUGCGCUCAAGGCGCCGGUGAGAUCGUGCUGAGAAUAAAUUACAGAUAAAUAAAUUUUACAUCUGUGUCAGCACACGGCAUAACCUUUUAAAAAGGGCAUAACAAAGAAAGUGAUUGAAAUCAAGAUAAUUGAUGUGCCAGAGCUGAUUAAUG